AGAACGAACGCUGGCGGCAUGCCUAACACAUGCAAGUCGAACGAGACCUUCGGGUCUAGUGGCGCACGGGUGCGUAACGCGUGGGAAUCUGCCCUUGGGUUCGGAAUAACAGUUGGAAACGACUGCUAAUACCGGAUGAUGACGUAAGUCCAAAGAUUUAUCGCCCAGGGAUGAGCCCGCGUAGGAUUAGCUAGUUGGUGAGGUAAAGGCUCACCAAGGCGACGAUCCUUAGCUGGUCUGAGAGGAUGAUCAGCCACACUGGGACUGAGACACGGCCCAGACUCCUACGGGAGCAGCAGUGGGGAAUAUUGGACAAU
rnacentral:rRNA from 1 species